UCCUGGUUAGCUUAGUUGGUAGAGCGCUUCACUUGAAAUGGACAAGUCCCUGGUUCGAUACCAGGGCCACGCA
rnacentral:tRNA from 1 species